GACGAACGCUGGCGGCGUGCCUAACACAUGCAAGUCGAACGGAAAGGCCCUGACCUUGUGGGGUGCUCGAGUGGCGAAAGGGUGAGUAACACGUGGGUAAACAGCCCUUGACUUUGGGAAAAAUUCAGGAAAAAGGGGCUAAUACAGGAUAGGAGCUCCUGCAGGACGGUGGGGGGUGGAAAGGUUCGGCGGAUGGGGAUGUAGUCGCGGCUUAUCAGCUUGUUGGUGGGGUAGUGGCUUACCAAGGCUUUGACGGGUAGCCGGCCUGGGAGGGUGACCGGCCACAUUGGGCCUGAGAUACGGCCCAGACUCCUACGUGAGGCAGCAGUGGGAGAUAUUGCACGAUGGGCGGAAGCCUUAUGCAGCGUCGCCGCGUGCUGGAUGACGGCCUUCGGGUUGUAAACCGCUUUCGCCUGUGACGAAGCGUGAUUGACGGUAACUAGUAAAGAAGCACCGGCUAACUACGUG
rnacentral:rRNA from 1 species